rnacentral:lncRNA from 1 species
GUCAACUCCACUUUCUCUAGGGUUUGGCAGAAACAGUAGUGCUUUUUGGAAAGCAGCAAGACCUCAGUAUCAGGUUUGGAUGAUACAGCCCUUGUAGCUCUGAGCCCAUUUCCAUUUUAGAAAAAUCACAACCUUAUGUCUCUUUCACUUUGUAGGGACCAAGGAGCAAACCCUCUGACAGAUGGGAAGGAGAAAUGUGUCACGGACUCUCCCUUUUUUGUGUUUGCUUUUCAUUGUAAAUUAAGAAGAAAAAAGCACAAUUUCAGGUUAGGCGGGAGUACCACUAGAGCAGGUGACCACCACUCCCAGGAGAUCAUUCAUGACCCUACCUUGCACAGUGCAGUAGAUACUUACGUGUCUUGCGUUGGAAGAAACCGAGAGGCAUUGAAUGGUGGCACAGUCCUGAGGGCAUGUGCUGGAGAACACACCUGACAGGGGAAUGCAGAGAGGAGUACCAGUGAUUAUGGAAGGAAUGUCUCUGAGUGACAAGAGAAAGAAUAUGCAGGUAUCCACAGAAGAUGUCUAGGCAUUACCUCAGCUUGGCUUUAAUGCAGCCUGACUGAGCUACUUAAGUACACACCUUUACCCAGGAUAGCUGUUUCUCUGGAAGGAACCCAGGAGCUUUUCUUACUGGUUGUGCAUAACCUACAUUCAUAAAACUGCUCCAGUAUCUGACCUCUGGGUUUGAGCUGAAUUUUUCUCUGCAGGUCAGGUCACAUUCUCUGAGAAGGGAAAAAAAAUCGCAUCUUCUGUCUGAGUCUGGCCCUGACCACGUCAAUAAAGCUCUCUCAAAAAAAAAACCCUGAUGGCA